AUGAGUGAACCUACCGUGCACAUCCUCAUAGGUUUUACUGUCAAAGAUGUUGAUGGCUCUGCAGAAGGGCUUGUUGUCUCCACCGCUGUGCGGAGGGAAGUUAAAGCUGAAGAAGGUGUUUCACCUGGACUUGUGUGGCUCAUCUGGGUCGUGGUGGACGAUGAAGGAGAAGUUUUAGUGAGAGCUGGAGUUCCAGGUUGCUGGGUGGAAGUGAUCACAUCAUGUGGCCUCGGUGUAGGUGGUUGCAAAUCAACCUCUUUGGGUGAUAACGUCCUUCCAGGUGUGGUUGAGUCUCUGGUGGGAAUCGCUUUAGAUGAUGGAGACAAAAAUGGUGCUACUAAGGUUAUUGGGUGGGGUCUUGAUGCAGAUGAGUCAACAUGUUUGAUUGUACUUAUUGGUGUUGCAGUAGUUGUAGAUGUCACCCCUGACGUGGCAGUUGGCCUCAUUGCCAAGGUGACCCUAGACGUAAAUGGUCUGGUUGUUGAGGUGACUCUAGGGGUAACUCUUGCUACAGGAACUCUGGGUGUUGUUCUGGGGGAGAAUGUCUGUGUGACGGUGGUAGAUGUUGUGGAGGGUGUAGCUCUUGACGUGGACACAUACUGGGUUGUGGGUUUUUCCAGGACCAUGGUUACAUUUGAAGCUAUUGCAGAUAUUGUUGUGUGGACCGGAGAGACAGAUGAAGAUGAGGUGGUUGUAGAUUUGGUUGAUAGCUGCAGUCUGUCUGUAACUGGACUAAGGCUGGUGCUGGUAACAGCCGUUGAUGUGGUUCCUCUUUGGGCUGUGGUGAGGGAUGUCUCAGGAGUUCUAGGCACAGGUUGCGAUGGGGGUGUGACCAGCUUCCUUGUUGUGGUGGCUCCAAUGUCUGGAGAGGGAAUUUCUGAUGUUGUAGGAGUGGUGGUGGCUGCUUCAGUAGAUGAUGAUGAAGAUGUGAGAAAUGGUUUUGAUGUGAGUGAAAUAUGGGGGAAAACAGUAGUUCUAUCGAUCACCUCUAAUGUUGGCUCUGAAGUAGGUCUGUAG
rnacentral:lncRNA from 1 species